rnacentral:lncRNA from 1 species
AUCGUCAACAAAAUCAAUAUGGCGGACGAGACGAUACCAGAAAACAUCGAUCCAGCUUUUAGACUUCGAAAUUUAGGACAGUUAGGCUCAAAUGUUGCCGUCGAAAACGAUGUACCGGUAAGAAGAUAUCUUAGAUCUGCCUUGGAGAUGGAAAAAAUGGUAAGAAAUAUUAUUCCUGAGUUUUUAUUUCUAUUUGAAUAAUGCUAUACAGUAAUAUUACUUGUUGCGGAUUAUUAUACAGAGAUAUGCAGGUCUUUGUGGCUAGAUGUGUAAUGUGUUCGCACUGCUUGUUCCCAGUUUUUGACAGGCCUGGAAUAGAAAGUUGUUUAACAUAUCUUGUACAUAUUUUAUCAACACUUCUAUUGCAUUGACAGUAACAAGGUUGAUGAGUCCAACAGACUCACAACAAGUUGUUCCAACAAGUCUAAUAUCGUCUGCACGUAACAAGUUGUUAACAAGUUGAUGACAACAAGCUCGUGGCAACUUAUUGUUACGAACAGCCUGUUUUAGUCUUGUUGGAACAACAAGUCUGUUACCGUCAUCGACCUUGUAACAAGGUGAUAACAACUUGUUCCAGACUUGUCACAACGACAGUGCAAGCCUGACAUGCGACCGACCCCAAUCUUUCAUUACAUUGAUAUUUUAGGCAAAUGUUUAUCUGGAAGAAAUGAAUCUGGAACAUGCAUAUAUUUUGUACACCAAAUUGAUAAC